AUUGAAUAUUUUUUUUAUAUUAGGGCUGCUCUGACUCCGGGGAGUGUGGGAUAUUGGGCUCAAUGACGUGUUUUUCUGGUCCGGAAGGCUUAAAUAUUGGACCCAUAUCUUUUUUUAGAAUUUAAAAAAAUAGUUUAGGCAUGGGGAGCGAGGCGUUUGUACAAAUGUACGAAAGCGUUGGUUAGAAGAGUAAAAAAGAUAUACACCAUCAUUCUCCUCUCUCCUACUA